rnacentral:rRNA from 1 species
GACGAACGCUGGCGGCGCGCCUAACACAUGCAAGUCGAACGAGCAAAGAGGAGCUUGCUUCUCUGAGCGAGUGGCGAACGGGUGAGUAACGCGUGAGGAACCUGCCUCAAAGAGGGGGACAACAGUUGGAAACGACUGCUAAUACCGCAUAAGCCCACGGGUCGGCAUCGACCAGAGGGAAAAGGAGCAAUCCGCUUUGAGAUGGCCUCGCGUCCGAUUAGCUAGUUGGUGAGGUAAUGGCCCACCAAGGCGACGAUCGGUAGCCGGACUGAGAGGUUGAACGGCCACAUUGGAACUGAGAAACGGUCCAGACUCCUACGGGAGGCAGCAGUGGGGAAUCUUCCGCAAUGGGCGAAAGGCCUGACGGAGCAACGCCGCGUGAGUGAUGACGGCCUUC